rnacentral:lncRNA from 10 species
CAGAGAGAGAGCUCUGCUGUCAGACCUGGCUGCGUUCACACUACCCUAGUGAGCCACAUCCAGUGAGACGCCCGGGCGAUGGAGACGCCGGCUUGUUCCUGUUCACACCCCCCAUCAGAAGCCAGCUUUCCACAGCUGCUCCAAUGAGUGCAAUCCUUUCUCCGAGGACACAGCUCCUGCAAGCAGGAAAACGCAGUGACAUGGUGCCAGUAUACUGCUGUUUGUAUCUGUGCAUUGCUCCCUGGCGUUUGCCUACCUUGCACUUGCAGGGAAGUCUUGAUGCAUAUGUGUUAUCGAGGUGCAUAUGGAAGGCCUUGUCUGCAGAAAUCUGCUCCUCUGUUGGGGGCAGAUGGUACUGCUUCCCAUUUUCCAUCUUUCUUUAUCGCUAGGUCCUCGAGAGGCAUUGUCCCCCACAGGGCUUGGGGUAAACUCAGAAUUACACCAAGAGGCCUCAGAGUGUCGAGGCUCGCUGGCUUUGGGAUGAGAACCUUGAAGCAUCCUGCCUCCGUGGGCUCUUCCCUUGCUGAAGGAUGCUGAGGAGGAUCCCGAGGAUGCUGAGGUCCAGGUAACAGGAUUGGCAAUAGCUUGGAUGAAAGAAAGAGAAGUCAGGCAGAAUCCCAAAGGAGAACGCUAUGGUUUGAAUGCAUCCCCCAAAGUUCACAUAUUGGAAACUUAAUCCCAAUGCAACAGUGUUGAGACGUGGGACAUUGAAGAGGUGAUCAGGUGAUCAACUGUUAGUUACUUUUUACACAUGGUACAAGGUAUGCAUCCAAGUUCAUUUCAUUUCGCAUGGAUAUACAAUCGUUCCAGCAUCAUGGAUUUAUUUUUAAAAAGAGUAUUUUUUUCUGCACUGAAUUACUCUUGCACCUUUGCAAAAAAAUAUUUUUCCAUAUGUGUAUGGUUCUAUUUCUGGACUAUUUCAUUCCACUAAUCUAUUCACCCGUCUUGAUGCCAAUAUCAUGCUGUCUUGAUUUUAGGAACUUUAUAAUAAGUCUUGAAGUCAGACAAUGUUAGUUCUCCAAUACUACUCAUCUUUACCAAAGUAGUAUUGACUAUUUUAGGUCUUUUAUAGUUCCAUAUGAAUUUUCGGGUCAGUUUGUCAAUUUCUACCCAAAAUAUGGCCUCUGGGAUUUUGAUUGAGAUUAUCAUCGAAUGUACAGAUUCAUUUGUAGAGAGCUGAUGUCUUUAAAAUAUUUGCUUCUCACCUAUGAGCACAGUAUAUCUUACCAUUUAUUUUUAUCUUUAAAUGUCCUUCAGUAAUAUUUUGUAACUUUCAGUGUAUAUGCCUUAGACAUCUCCAGUCAGACUUUUCCUAUUUCCUUUUUCCUAUUUUUGAUGCUUUCAUAAAUGACAUUUUGUUGUAAUUUCAAUUUCCAAUUGUUUAUUGCUAGUGUCAUCAAAAAAACGAUUAAUUUUCACAGGAUCUUAUUUCUUGCAACCUCUCUCACUACAUUCACUUAUUACUUUCAGUAGCUUUCUGUAGACUUCAUUGGAUUUUUUGCAUGUUGUCUGGGAGCAAAGACAGACUUGUUUCUUCCUUUAUCGUGUGUAUGUGCUUUAUUUUUUUGUACCUUGUUUUGAUGUCAAAAAUGUGUCAAAUAUACAUGGUGAGAAGGUACCUCUCAGUCUUGUUGCCAUUAAGUAUGAUGCCAGCUGUAUGUUCUCCAUAGAUACCUUUCAUCACGUGUAUUAACCAUGCCUUUUUACUUUCUGUAUUUCUGAUCUUUUGACAUCUUGGGG